rnacentral:misc_RNA from 1 species
AAGUCGUAACAAGGUUUCCGUAGGUGAACCUGCGGAAGGAUCAUUAACACGUAUCCAACGUUAAACAACCCUGUGAACUUUAAGUCCCCUCUUGCAGCCCAUGAGGAACAGCAAUCCCGGUAAAUCAUUGCCAAACAGUUUUGAUUCGGGACCUCUGUCCAAAAGGAGUUGCAAUCGAAGGGUGGAAGCAGUGGCAUGGCUUCCCCAAGCAGUUGGUUGCUAGAGGUCGAUCACCGACCGGCAGACAUGUCACAGGGUCACCACGCCCCUUAAUCACUCCACUUGAAAAUGCCCCGCCUAGUGGUAACGCGCUAGGUAAAAAAAAACCGAACAACUGUUAACAAUGGAUAUCUUGGUUCUC